UACGGAGGGUGCAAGCGUUAUCCGGAUUUACUGGGUUUAAAGGGUGCGUAGGUGGGUCUGUAAGUCAGUGGUGAAAUCUCCGAGCUUAACUGGAGAACUGCCAUUGAUACUGACAGGCUUGAGUACAGACGAGGUUGGCGGAAUUGAUUGUGUAGCGGUGAAAUGCAUAGAUACAAUCAAGAACUCCGAUUGCGUAGGCAGCUAACUAGGCUGUAACUGACGCUGAGGCACGAAAGCGUGGGGAGCGAACAGG
rnacentral:rRNA from 1 species